GACGGCAUGGCGAAAUGGUAGACGCGCUAGCUUAGAAAGCGUGUGUCCGAGAGGACGUGGAGGUUCGAGUCCUUCUGCCGUCG
rfam:Thecamonas trahens ATCC 50062 unplaced genomic scaffold supercont1.18, whole genome shotgun sequence.